UUUUAUCAAUUUUUUGAAACGUAUUAAAAGUUUAAAAAAAGCCUUGCGUUAUUUGACUUUUAGUUUUCGAUUGGUUUGUAUGCAAAUCAAAUGUAUAUGAAACGGGAUUUCAGUCUAGUCUUGUAUGCAUAUUGAAUAUUACCGCACGGAAAAGCGAGGUAAAAUAUACACGAAGCUCCACUAUAUAAAAAUGAUUUACAAAUUCUUAGAACCAAAGAAGACUAAAAAAUCGCUAUCAAAUGAAAAUCCAAAAUCCUGUAAACAGAAUUUAAGUAAGUUUAUGCAAUAUACAUGUGGGAUUGGCCAAACCUUGAUACAUCACCCUAUUCCAACAGACGAACAAGACAGAACCGACCACUUAACAAACGGACAGACAUAACAAAAGAGAACGAGCGUCCCCUUUCAUUUUCUUUUCCAUACCCACAUUAAAUAGUUAUUCAGUCUUACGUUGUCCUUAUGCGCAGAGAGUUUAGUUGGCCGGGCGUUACGCAUCGUUUCCAUUUAUUUUUAAUUAUAAUUAUAAACUAAAUACUUAUCAAUAAACUUUACACAAAAAGUAACUUUGGUGUCGCCUAUUUACUUGUUCGAAAAAUUAUCCCUAGACAAAACCCUACAUACAUACAUAGUAGUUUUAAUGGACGAGCGUUCAAUCAUUUUCUUUAGUUCCAGAGCCUGAUGCACAAACUUGUAUAAAAAGUUUAAAUUUUGACAACUUGUCAGCUGAAGAGUUUAAUAGUUUUUGGGAUUCAUGCACGGAGUGCCGACUUCUGGAGAUAAGAAAAUCUUCAACGAAGGAGGCGAUUUUCAAAACAUGGCCGCAGUACAAGAAUUUGAAUGGUUAUCGUUUGGUAAGGUCUUAAUCUUCAAAAGUUUUGUUUAUUAAGUAACUCUUUUUUUUAAUAGAUUGACAGAGACUUUAAAUUGGGAAGAACUGGGAAACCAACUUUAAAGUAAUAAAACAGUUUCUCAUUCAAAAUAUAAAAGACAAGAAAACUACAGAGCUGCUUUCUCAAAUCGCAGAAUGCGAUGCGAACAAAGAAGAUGCGGUACUCACCCUACUGAAAAGUGAACACUGCUAUCUCAUUCCAAGGAGACCAGUUGUAUAAAAACCAACAUCAAAGCAGAAAUCGGUUCAAAGGUUUACGAUAAAAGACUCCCAACAUGCUUUCAUUUUCGAAGGAGAAAGUGUUCAGCAAUUUGAAGACCAUUUGGAUUUUUUAAAAUCCCAACAUAACAACGUGCAACCCUUCAUUUUAUCCUUGCAAAAGAACGAUGAUCCAGAGUAUUGCGUAUUACGUGUAUCUGGACGGCAGUAGAUUGUUGUAAAGUGCGUACUUCACAACAUUCCCUUAUCAUCCUUUCUUAUCCCAUUACAAUUCAACCCAUUGCCACUUCAAAUUCCCACAGUUCAUCAUUUCCAUCUAAUUACCUACAAAAAUUACAUUCAACUCCAAUGUUGUCAACCACGCGAUCAACGAUCGCUCCACUAAAACCAAACCCAUUAGGAAAAAAAGAAAACUGUGGGGGAGCUAGGAUAAGUAGUCCCUACUCGAACUCUGGGCUGAAAA